rnacentral:hammerhead_ribozyme from 1 species
AUCCAGUUGACGAGUCCUAAAUAGGAUGAAACGCGUGUCCUGGAU